GUAAUAGUAUCAGAGAGUCUAGUUUUUAACUGGGGUGGGAAACAAGGCUUCUGCUGUGGAGAACUGAGCGAUUGAAGAACAGUGUGUUCAAGUCACUACUUUUACUGUCAUUUAGCUGUGUCAGUCUACUGGAAUAUAUCCUGAAGGGAAAGGUGGCUGCAGCACUAAACUUCACCUCUGGAAAGAUACUUGGCACCUGGGGCUUGAAUUAACAGGGAGGGACCUGUAUUUUUGUACUGAAAGAGCUUUUUUCUCUUGCUCCUAUCUCUACUGAAACCAUUCUGUGCUUAACAGUUACAAAUAAGGCUCUCCUUCAGUUUAUAGAAGUGAGUAUCUUGAGACAAACAAAUCCCCUUGUGUUUGAUACCUUGGGAACAUGACAGCAGCCUUACAACAGGCAGGAACCUGUUUGCUGGCAUUAUGAUGAUCACUCUUUGCCGUUUACCCAGCUGAAAUGUGUGAUGAGCAGUGUUGUAUCUGAGGUGCCAGCUAACUAGGAGGGUUUUCCCAGUUUAAUUUGCUACCACCAGUUCUGAUUUUAUUCAUCAUUUUAAAGGUGCUGUGACAUCACAUGACCUCCACUGUCUCCAAAACCUGCGUAUGCACAUACAGGCAACAGCAGACUCCAUCCACCUCUAGAAGAAUGGGUUUUUAAGGUGCUUGAACACAGCAGCCUGAAAUUUGGAGUCCUAAUGAGCUUGGAAAUGCUUUCCUGGCCCUUCCUGUUCCUCGGAAAUACGGCUUGAUUCAACAGGAAAGAAAGGGAGCAGCUGUUCUGUGAACAAUCUUCAAAUUAUGUUCAGGGAGUUUUCAUCAUUGAGGUCAAAUGGAAACAGAGGAUUUGGUGCUAUGCAUAAUGCAGACUUGCCUAAGCAAAGAAGAAAGAAUUGUGCUAAAAGAUGUGAUAAACUUUUGCCAGACCUUCCAUCUGAAGGGGAAAAAAAGCUGUGACACAGAUUACUUAAAUGGUAACAUAGAAGAUUGUGUUAUGGAGUGUUACAUAGCAUGAGAUUACCUGACUGUAGAAGUUCAAGUUUAUCCUUUUUAUAUGAAGCCAGGUCUCCUAUGUAGCAGAUACCACCCUUGGCCAGCACAGCACUGCAAGCUUGAAUACUAGCGCUUCCAGUUCCGUGUUUGUCUUUGGACACAGAAGGGAAAAUGUCACUGUAAGGCUGACCACAAGAUGGCAGUAGCUCCUACGGCACAUUCGCAAGCAGAAAAGCCUGGGGCGGCUUUCUGAGCGGUGGGACGGAAGCCACUGCCGCCUCUGCCUCGCCUGGAAAUGCCAUGGAAAAACGGAUAUUCAUUACGAAAGGUACGUGCCCUCAUAAAGGCAUCACUAUGAUUUAUUCUGCAGUCUCCUAACUUCGGGAUUUGGCUUUUCUUUUAUUAUUCAUGGUCUAUGUUACAGGAAGAAGCAGACAAAACAGCCUUAAAAGUCCUUAAGGCCUAAUCCUGCAACGAUGGAGGCAGUUCAGUAAUAUUACUGAAAGAAGUUGUUCCACUGAAGUGAGCUACUUAUUAAAACAAACUUGUUCUACACUAGCAGUUUUUGCCAGUCAUUUAAGGAUACUGUUCUACAGUGUACAAAUACACACAGAAACACAGUUUCCAAGGGAAAAAAGUAUUCUGCUAGCUUAGCUUUUUUCUUUCAGUUUAUAUGAGAAAAUAUGUAUGCCAAUAUAAUUUAAUAAAUUAUCUUCAUCAUUAGGAAAAUGGAUUGCUGGCAUUGCUGUGCUUCCAAAACAUUUAAUAAUGCUGAGCAACCACUGGCAGGGUCCACUGCUUUCAAUUAACAGAAAUCAUACUGUGCUCGUUACAAAAAUAUAUGCAUAAUAAGACUGCAUAGAAAAAUGCCUUUGUCAUGCUGGGGUUUUAGCUCUUAAAUUAUCAAAAUUAUUAUAAAGCUUCUGAAAUAGUACCAAUUUUUUUUUAUUACCUUUAGAAAAUUGGCAGGUUUCCUCAGUACAAAGAAAUCUUGCUCCUUGUGUAUAUUUCGUUACAAUUCCCAUUGCAAUUGCUAUUCCUUCAGACAUAUAAAAUCUUUGAGAUGUGUAAUUAAAGGGAAAUGCAGCAAGAUUCAGAACAUAACUUGGUAAAGGUGGCAAAUGGGUUGGUUUCAGCAAUAUACUGAUCUAACAAGAGACACAAUCACAUUAAUACCAUCAAAAUAUUUGUUUGUUUGUUUUAAACCCACUUUACUUACAUGGACAAGCAUACAAUGUGAUAUAUGGCAAUUAGAAAAAUCAGAAAUGCAUGAGGUUUCAUAUUAAUUAUCUCUAAAUUCUUGCGAUAGGGUUGGGUGAGAUUUCCAGCUAUUUUUAAUUACAACUAAUACUACAAUCCAAGGGAAAAACGCUAAAUGAAAAGUUAAUGUAAAAAUAAUACUAGUUAAUACUUCACCAUGCUUGAAAGAUUUAAAAUCUAAAUGGAGGAAAACUGCAGCCUCACCUGGGCCUCUGUCUGCAGUUGUUCAAUUAUUGAUAAUGUCUUAAUAGCUAUGAAGCACACCUGUGAUUGACAAAUCGUGUCAUUUUAGAAAGGAAAAUCUAGUUAAAAUGUAGAAGAUGUACUUUUGUCUACUCUUGUCUAUCAGUCUGUACUUACUGACUGAAAAAUCUGUGCAGCUUGUAUGGGAUUAUGAAGAAUAUAGUUUCCAAGAGUUGCAUCUAAUUCAGCAAUAUCAGAAGGGUUUAUUGAAAUAAUGAAACGAUAAACAGCAUAACUUUGUUUUGAGUCUGUAGGAGCAAAAAGUAUCUCAAAUAAAAAACAACAGAAGACUUAUGUAACAUUA